GGAGAAGAAGAGGGAAGGAAAGUUCCAGAAGGAGAGAGGAGAGAGUCGGGGCGGAGGGGAGCGAGAAGGGAGAGGGAAGGAGGUCGUGGACAGACGACGCGACCGGCAGGAAGAAGGAAGAUGGAAACGGGAGGUGGAGUAAGAACGGAGUCGGGAUCCGAGCGGCUGGUAACGGAGCCCCGUCGGUAGUGCCAUAGGGCACAAGUUUUGUUUGUGAUUUAAAGUUGUUUUGAAAGGGUGUUUUAGUAUGGGUAUUGAACUUCUAGAAAUGUUUAAUAAUGUGUUACUAUGUGUUGUAGAGGUGGAUAUGUAUGUGCAAUUGAUUUGGAGCAAUGAAUGUGGACAAGUUUCUCUUAUGCAUGGUUGGAAUGA